rnacentral:lncRNA from 1 species
AGAAAGAAGCUUAUAAAGCUUACAAAAAAUGGAAGUAAUUUGAAGAUCUUCAAUUCUCACGGUCUGACGCAAGAGUUGAUUCGAAAAUUAUAAAAUUUUCUCAGAACAAUUUUUGAGAAAAAGUUAGAAGAAAAAAUGAUCGUUGUCCUGAAGAGAUGAGGAAUGAACGGAUCAUGUAAUACACCCUGAAAAAAAAUCAAAACAUGUGGUCAUGUUAUGCCCAAAAAUAAAGUUUCACGUGCAGUAGGAAACAGAGAAUAUUUUUUAAAAAGAAAAGAAAAGUUAAAGUUAGAGAGGUGUUACCAGAGAAGCAAAGAUGGGCUGCAUAUGUCUU